rnacentral:tRNA from 1 species
GGCGCCAGGGCCGAGUGGUUAGGCGGGGGCUUCCCCAAGCUCCGACAGCGGUUCGAGUCCGCUCGGCGCCG